UGUUCCCCCCCCCCAAUGCGGAAAUCAACCCCUGCUUCCAUCUUUGUGGGCUUCGAAGGCAGAUCGACUGCUGGCCGGAAUGGCUGGUCGGCUUCUACGGAGGGAGGCAUCCCAGGACAACAUCUGGAAUUCCCAAGUCCCGCAAGCUGAAACAGCAGCAACAGGAGAAAAUGCGGCUUCUUUUGCUCACUGGCUUUGGCGUUCUCAAGGGAUGAGCCCAGAGAAGCUUCACCCUGCAGGUCCGAGAGGCAGAGCCUGGAGGAGAACCUUUUUCGUGCCCUGCGACACCCCAAAUCCCCCGGGGUGGAUUGCUGGAAUUGCAGUCCAAAAGAAAUGAACUUUUCCAGCCUCUGGUCUGAGUCCCUCGAGGACUGACCCUCGUGGGAUUCUUGGUGACCACUCAAUAGCCAUCGAUGGCAUGAAGGUCACAUUUCUCCACCCGACUUGGACCCACAGGAUGGAGAUUUCACAGCCUUCUCUGCCUUGUGGAAGUCUCACCGGAUGCCUGGGCCCCCGCCUUGGACACGGCAGCGGUUCUCGCACGAACCUGCUUUUCACCUCUGAUUAAUGGGCCGCUCACCGUCUGCAGACAGGACAUAAAUCCCUGGCACGGGAUCGACAAGCCAACCCCGUGGAUCGGGUCUCGCCCUUGUGCAAGCUAUACUUAGCCGGGGAAACUGCGCCCAAGCCGGCUGAGGGACACACGGC